rnacentral:rRNA from 1 species
UACGAAGGGGGCUAGCGUUGCUCGGAAUCACUGGGCGUAAAGGGUGCGUAGGCGGGUCUUUAAGUCAGGGGUGAAAUCCUGGAGCUCAACUCCAGAACUGCCUUUGAUACUGAAGAUCUUGAGUUCGGGAGAGGUGAGUGGAACUGCGAGUGUAGAGGUGAAAUUCGUAGAUAUUCGCAAGAACACCAGUGGCGAAGGCGGCUCACUGGCCCGAUACUGACGCUGAUGGCACGAAAGCGUGGGGAGCAAACAGG